ensembl:lncRNA
AAAAAUGACUGUUCUUUCAUGAAAUGUUGACAUCUGCAGACAAAUAGUGUCCUGCAGCAUGUGCCAAAUUCCCUCUCUUCAUAUGUAAACCUUGCUACAAACACCUCCUACCCUGAUAUUUUUAGUGACAAGUGGAAAAUUGCUCUAUUAGCAGAACAAGGAGAAGUUAAUUCCUUCCAGCACCAGUUGCUGGUUUUUUAAGGCCAUGGAAACUUGGAAUUGAAUAUGCAAUAACAGGUAGAAAAAGACUGAGUACAAUCAUGUAAAAGCUGAAUUACUCCAAAUUGAUUUUUGCCUUCCCUCUUGCACUAAUUUUGUACCUAUUUGAUGUUGCAGAACUGUGCUGACUUUGAACGGGAAUUAAUGUCAAAGAUGCCCCUGAAGUCCAAAGCUGGAAUUCAGAUGAAAGACUUCUACAGUACGUUUUGACCUCUGUCAGCAGCAGCAGACUGGCUCGAAGACCUACAGGACAAAGAAUGGCUUUGCUAAUUAAGCCUACUGUAUGCUCACAGAAGAGACCAUGCUGGGACAGAGGACGGCGGAAGACAACUGGAAAGAGAGGAGGGUGAAUUCUGCCAGGGCCUCAGGAGGAGGGGGACUGCUGAAAGCUGUCCUACAACGAGCACAGGGCAAAGGGAUUCUGCUGGACCUCCCACCUGCUCCUUGCCACCUUUGCUGCUCAUGGGACGAACCUCUCUCAUUGUCACUCUUGCCCAGGAGAGCUUGUCGAGUGCCAGAAGCCAAAGCCUUGGAAGACAUCUGAGUGCUGCUCACUUAUAUAACGCCAAAUAUGCUCGCACAGUAAGAAAGCCUAUUAAAUAUUUAAACCCUGUCCUUUCCUCAAAAGCAGAACAGCAGAGAUGAUUUUCCAUGGAAUUUAACUUUAAACUCUGGCAAUUUGUACAGCUGUGCAUAUAAAUGGUUUGCACAUCAUCUCCAGAGGCUAAGGUCACCGUGUCUCAUACAUUUCAAUGCUGCAAGUUACAUAGCAACAACCUUCCCAUUUCUGUUUCCAUGUUAUUUAUUGAAAGGGACUUAAAAACUGGGAUGGAGUACCACUGGGUUUUGAGAUGAAUGAAUGGAAGUUGAUUGUAAUAUUUUUUUCUUAAUCGCUUAAUUUUUGUCUCUUCAUAGGACAAGAAGGAUAAUAACGGUCCAUCAGCAAUGGGGACCGGGUGGUAGAAAGCCUUUUCCAGGAAAGGAAUUAGAGCAGACAACUGCUUGAUUUCACUUAAUGCAAUUUGUUCCGUGACUGAUCUUCAGACCCCUGCUUCAUUACCUUACACAAACUUAAACCUGUUUUCCAAGAAGGAAGAGAUCCUUAUUUGCAAUUAGAAUUACUCAAUUACACACCGCUCAUGAAAACACCAUGCAUAUUUAGUUCCAACGGAUGACAGCUGACUUUUAAAAUGGCAGAGAUAUAUUUCUUCAAAUAAUAAGCACUUAAGAGUUAAUAUCAUGGAAGGGUUCCGUACCUACAAAACACAAAAAUCUCAGAACUGAUUUUCAUUCCUUGCACAUAAACAGCUCUGUAAUAUUGUUAAUGUAAGUGCAAAUUCCACAGGGCAGCAUUUCCUGUGGUGAGGGUCUGUCGAAAAAUAAAACCAAGAUGGUUGGUUAACUCA